AUUAACGCUGGCGGUAUGUAUAAUACAUGCAAGUCGAACGCCCUGCACUUAGUCUACAAAAUUUGUAGGUUGAGUGCAGGGAGUGGCGAACGGGUGCGUAACACGUUGGAACAUUCCCCGAACUCAGGGAUAGCUCGCAGAAAUGCGAAUUAAUACCGGAUAGUCCCGCAAGGGUAAAGAUUUUUCGGUUCGGGAGUGGCCUGCGGCUUAUCAGCUAGUUGGUGAGGUAAUGGCUCACCAAGGCUAUGACGAGUAGCUGGUCUGAGAGGACGACCAGUCACAAUGGGACUGAGACAUGGCCCAUACUCCUACGGGAGGCAGCAGUAAAGAAUCUUUCGCAAUGGGGGAAACCCUGACGAAGCGAUACCGCGUGAAUGAUGAAGGCCGUAAGGUCGUAAAAUUCUUUUCUGAAGGAAUAAUUUUGAAGGUACUUUAGGAAUAAGCACCGGCUAACUCCGU
rnacentral:rRNA from 1 species